rnacentral:SRP_RNA from 1 species
GCUGGGCGUGGUGGCUCACGCCUGUAAUUCCAGCACUUUGGGAGGCUGAGGUGGGCGGAUCACCUGAGGUCAGGAGUUCAAGACCAGCCUGACCAACAUGGUGAAACCCCAUCUCUA